AGUCUGGUUUGUAUUCAACAUUAAUGCACAAUUUGGGAUUUAUAAAUAUAUAUAUUAAAAAAUCAAAUUUAAGUAUUUAUGAAAUUAUUUUCCCUUAAAUGUAAAUUUGAAAACUGGUAUUAAACUUGUGGUAAAAUAUAAAAUUCACCCUUUAGUUUUUUAAUCAAAAUUUAAGCUAUUUAUAAAAAAAUGUUAUUCUUUAAGGGUAAAUUUGAAAAGUUGUAUCAAACUUGUGGUAAAUUUAUAUUCUCCCAUAUAACUAUGAUUAUAAUAUAUUAUAUUGUAUAUUAUUCAUAAUAAUUUUUAAUUCGCAAUCUAUAAAUGCAGAUUAUAAAAUUACUUAGAAUUUUUAUAAAAUUAAAUAUAAAAUAUUAAUUAAUAUUGUAGUUUAUUUAUUAUGUAAAUAUUUAUAUUCAUGUACAU
rnacentral:lncRNA from 1 species